rnacentral:lncRNA from 1 species
AGUCCACUCAUAGAGGACCCUCUGCGCAUUAGCACUCCGAUGAGUGGCUUGCUAUGGGCAGGUCCCCCAGACGCCUCUCCCCCAGUAAGCUGGCCACACUGCUCCUCCAGGGAUCUCAGAGAGAUGGCAGCUUGUCAAGUUCCUGAGUCGCUGGCUCAAAAGUCAUCUGUCAGCUGUAACUUGCUCCUAAGAUGGUCCUCCUUAUCCAUGGCCAGCCAGCCUGCUCAUAGUGAGCUUGUUUGCACUGGGCCCUCAAUGGUAGAAGUUUUUCCUGGCAAUAUGCUUGCCAAACCUCCUGGACACCUGUACGUCCAGCAGCAUGCUAGGCACUGUAAAGGAUGGCACAUCUGCUGCAGAGAGAAUCUCUGCCCUCCACUCAGCCACCAGAACCAGAAAAACAAACUGAACAACUUGAACCCAAGAAGUAUAUCAUCUCAAAUAAGGGAUGGGGGUCACUUGGGACACCUUCACAAAAGCAUACCCCCAGAGACAAGACCAAAGCUCUCCUCUGCCACUAGAGGCCAGCCAUGUAUACGCUUUUGUGAUUUUGUCAUUUCCCCUGUGAUGCAGUUUGGAUGUUGUCCCCUCCCAAAUCUCAUGUUGAAAUGUAAUCCCCCAUAUUGGAGGUGGGGCCUGGUGGGAGGUGGUUGGAUCAUGGGGGUGGAUUUCUCAUGAAUGGUUUAGCACCAUCAUUCUGGUGCUGUCCUCAUGAUAGUGAGUGAGUUUUCAAGAGAUGUGGUCGUUUAAGUGUGUAGCACCUUCUGCCUCUCUCUCUUGCUCCUGCUCUGUCCAUGUGACUGCCUGCUCCCCCUUCACCUUCUGCCAUGAUUGUAAGUUUGCUGAGGCCUCCCCAGAAGCUGAGCAGAUGCCAUCAUUCUUACUGUGUAGCCUGCAGAGCCAUGAUCCAAUUAAAUCUCUUUUCUUUCUAAA